rnacentral:rRNA from 1 species
GUGGGGAAUCUUCCGCAAUGGACGAAAGUCUGACGGAGCAACGCCGCGUGAGUGAAGAAGGUUUUCGGAUCGUAAAGCUCUUUCGUUAGGGACGAACGUGCUCUUUGUGAAUAAUGAGGAGUAAUGACGGUACCUAAAUAAGAAGCCACGGCUAACUACGUGCCAGCAGCCGCGGUAAUACGUAGGUGGCAAGCGUUGUCCGGAAUUAUUGGGCGUAAAGCGCGCGCAGGCGGGAUAUCAAGUCUGUCUUAAAAGUGCGAGGCUCAACCUCGUGAGGUGACAGAAACUGGUAUUGUUGAGUGUCGGAGAGGAAAGUGGAAUUCCAAGUGUAGCGGUGAAAUGCGUAGAGAUUUGGAAGAACACCAGUGGCGAAGGCGACUUUCUGGACGAUGUCUGACGCUGAGGCGCGAAAGCUAGGGGAGCGAACGGGAUUAGAUACCCCAGUAGUCC